UACAUGGGGUGCAAACGUUGCUCGGAAUUAUUGGGCGUAAAGCGCACGUAGGCGGUUUGUUAAGUCGGAUGUGAAAUCCCUCGGCUCAACUGAGGAAGUGCAUCCGAAACUGGCAGGCUUGAGUACUAAAGAGGGUCGCGGAAUUCCCGGUGUAGAGGUGAAAUUCGUAGAUAUCGGGAGGAACACCAGUGGCGAAGGCG
rnacentral:rRNA from 1 species